UACGGAGGGGGCUAGCGUUGUUCGGAAUUACUGGGCGUAAAAGGCGUACGUAGGCGGCUUUGUAAGUUAGAGGUGAAAGCCCAGAGCUCAACUCUGGAAUUGCCUUUAAGACUAGCAUCGCUUGAAUCGUGGAGAGGUUAGUGGAAUUACCGCAGUGUAGAGGUGAAAAUUCGUAGAUAUUCGGAAGAACACCAGUGGCGAAGGCGACUAACUGGACACGUAUUGACGCUGAGGUACGAAAGCGUGGGGAGCGAACGAGG
rnacentral:rRNA from 1 species